rnacentral:rRNA from 1 species
UACGAAGGGGGCUAGCGUUGCUCGGAAUCACUGGGCGUAAAGCGCACGUAGGCGGCUUUCUAAGUCAGGGGUGAAAUCCUGGAGCUCAACUCCAGAACUGCCUUUGAUACUGGAGAGCUUGAGUCCGGGAGAGGUGAGUGGAACUCCGAGUGUAGAGGUGAAAUUCGUAGAUAUCUGGAGGAACACCGGUGGCGAAGGCGGCAUCCUGGACCGGUAUUGACGCUGAGGCGCGAAAGCCAGGGGAGCAAACGGG